CCCAUUGGUGUGACAGUGUGCAGGCAAAGAAGUGCCUUAAACUGGAAUGUUCCAGUGUCCCAGGUGGAAGCCAUUAGUUCCAGUUGAGCACGCUUUCCGAAACAUCAUGGAGGUGAAAUUGAAGAAGAGAGAAGGACCUCUUCAUACAGAAACUAGAUGUCUGGGGAUGUAGGCCGGUCUGCAACUGAAGAUUCAACUGUCUAGGUAUUGUCUGUA
rnacentral:lncRNA from 1 species